ACUAGCGGGUGAAUCAUUCAACUCCACCGUGCCCACUGAGAGAAAUAAUCUUCAUCUAGAAGACACCAGGUCAAGAAGCAUAACAGCAGCGAGUGUUCUAGAGAAUCCCUUGUUUAAUCCAGCUCCUGACCUCAGCAGAAAUGCUAACCUGAGUAUUGCAUCAUCAUCAUCAGUGUCCAGGACAGGCUCAAGCACAGGUGUUCAAGCACCAUCUUCUAAUCUAGCGUGGACGCCUCACCGGAAUUUACCACCUCACCAAAGAAGAAGAUCGGAACUUGCCCAUAGGUCAUUGAUUUCUUCCCUUUCUGCAGAUGCGAGAUCUGGUGAUCAUCAUCCACCACUUCGUUCGUUGGCUCCUCCUGCCCCUCAGGAUGGGCUUGUGCUUCAGCCUGGUGGUGGUGAUAGUAGCCGGGCAUACUCGAGAGCAGGUCUGUGGCUUGAUAGACAAGUGGAUAGUUUGGUUGGGGCUCCUCAAUCUUUAAGGGCUUUGGCAGCUGCAAGCAGAGGAAGAAACAGACUUAUGGUAUCCCAGGUCAGUUCAUACAAGUUCGGUUAACCUUGAUGGUUUUUGUUAGACUGACAGUGAGUCUCUUUGAAACAGAUGCAGAAUAUCUUGGAAGUGAUGCGGAGGGAUCCGAAUCAUAACUUGCGGCUUGAGGUUAGUUUCUCCUUGGGGCGGGCUCAGUAGAAUAAACAGUGUUCUAAAAUUACAAGUGAACUUGUCUUCUCUCUGUCUCUGUUGAACUUUAAAAAGUAAUGUGAAUUGCUUGAUUGUCCAGGACGUUAUGCUUCUGAAACCUUAAUUAAAAAAUUAGUAAACAAAAAUAAUGGUAAUUAUAUAUGAUAUUUUUAAUUAAAUAAAAGUGCUUUGUAAUUUUAUUUUGUAAAAAUUAACUAAAAACGACACAUAGGAAAACCUAAGUAUCAAUAUUUACUUGUUCUUGGUACUGAAAACGUUGGUGAGGAACUGAGGAUGUAUGUGGAAUCACUGGAGAAGAAGAUGCCUAAGUCAAUUAGUGGUCAUGAAAUAUAUUGAGUGGUUGUCGACUGGGUUGUGUUAACAAACACAUAGAAAACUUAAUUAAUGGGCCUUCGAGUGAAUAUAUUUUUUUGUUCUUAGUGGCAAGAAUAUUUUGUUGAAGUAUCAAUAUUUGAUUGGCCUGACUUUUCUUUAAUUGUUACUAUCUAAGUUCCAAUUUUUGAUAUUUUUAUAUAACAGAAAUUACAAAAGUCUGUAUUGUGAGUUUCAACUAUUCACAUCCAUAGGACCAUAUAACAUGAUGUUUCACGGACUAAACAUUACCAACAUAUUUAUUUUACUAUAUACUUUGCUAUAUAUAUAUUUAUCAAACAUUUUUAUAUUCCAAAAUAAAAGAGCGAAAUUACAUUUAUUUUCAUAAUUAAAAAAUAUUGCGUAUGAAAUAUGUUUUAGUAUUUACAUAAUUUCAAACACAAAAAAAUUACUUCUAUAGUUUUCAUUAAUUGUGUUUGGGUUUAUAGAAUUAAAACCAAAAAUUCAUUAUGAUUUUUUCCAUAAAUGAAAUAAAAAUAUGCAUGACCAGAAUGAAAUUGCCACUUGAAGUUGUUUCUUUUUUUUUUUUUUGAAACACGGAAUUGUGUCUAAAAAAUCAAGUUAUGUAGGGGGUGUGAACCUGAUCAUUUGUAUUUUAGGCUAAAAAAAAUUAUAUAAAGAAUAAAUAAAAUUGAUUGCGAAUUAUUUAUAACAUGAUACACUUUCUACAAAACGUUUUUUUUAUAGAUUUUGUUUUUUAAUUUUAAAUUCAUAAGCUGAUAAUCAGUGCCGGUCAUAAAAAUUUAAGACCAAGUUUGUAAACUUGAGAUUUUACCAUUAGACCUAAAAAAACGAUUGAAAAUAUGUGGCCGAAAAUAUAUUUAUUGUGAAGCGGCCAAAAACCACUGAUUUCUUUGUUUAAGUCCAAGGGCCGGCUCUGCUGAUAAUCUCUGGGAGUAGAAAAUUUAAGUAAAUAAUAUUUCUAAUGAACAAAUGUCAUCUUGUGUUUAUUUUUAGUUGAGAAUCUAAUGAAAUUAAAGAAAAAAGAAAGGCAAGGAUAUGAAAAGAUAAGCAAUCAGAAAGCACACCAAAUGACCAAAGUUACAUGGUAACAAAAGGAAAGAAACCAAAUCUGUUGGUUUAGUUUGGUUCGGUUUAGUUAAAUUCAAAAAACAAAGAGAGGAAAAUUGAAAAACGAGGGACGUGUGAAGAAGCAAAGGCUAAGAACUUGCCAGCUUGCUGCUGUCUCCUCUUCAAACAAUUUAAUUUAUAGUAUAAAAAAAUUUUUAAUAAGUUUUUUUGUUGGUAUUCGUUGAUUAAGGCUAAGCUUAUUGAAUUCUCCUCUUUGGAAACUGCUCUUAUGACUGACCAUUUUGCUUUCUUUCUUUCUUUAUUUUUCCUUUUCAUAAAAAAAUAUACAUUUUUAAGUUUUCCUAACGUGAAUUAAAACAUUGCCGUCUCUUCCUCUGCCUAAUAAUCAAUCCUCCCUUCCUCUUCUCUCUCUGCAACAAAGCGGUACGUUCUCUCUCUCUCUUCCUCAAGUUUUGUUCUUUCUUCUCAUCCCAAGAUUAAUUUAGAUCGGUUAUGUUUUUCUAUUUUCUUUUUAUUGUUGGGUUUUGAUUUUGUCAUAUCUGGGACUUAUCAUUCGGAAUUGAGAAGAAUCUCUGUUGAAACCGAUUGUUCUAAAGUUGGCUCCUUUAUGUAUAGAUCUCUAAUCAACUUUUGUUUGUUUUGAUAGAAAGCUCUCUUCUUUACCCUUUAUUGAUGAUAUCUUCAUCUUCUGAUUCUGUCUUGUGGGUUGUUUGCCUGACCGACCGACCACCAUGCCUUUAUCUUCCUUCAAGCUGUUUGCUAGCUCUUGGGACUUUGUGACACUUAACUUCCUUUGCUUGUUGUUUUGUCAACCUCUGUCUCUAGGUGUCAAAUUGAUACUUCAUUCACCUCUUAUGAAGUCAUAUGUCAUCUGUUAUGAAUUGUGUUUUACUUGGCCAACUAAUCUAUGAGUCAGUGAGUUGUUUUAAGCUAUUGUGUGAUUUUAUUUGUAAUUACAGUUCUAGGAACUAUGUUUUCAUUGAGAGCAUUUGAGUGUGUUUAUGAGUUUCUUCCUUUUUCAUUCACAAUUUAACUUUUCUUUGUUACUGAAUGAUUUAUACUGUCUUUGUUCUUUUUUUCAGUCUCCACGUUAGGCAGGCACAUUGCUAGAGGAGCAAAGAAAGUCUCGCGAGUCCUCCUCUUCUCCCAAGUGUAACUGUGGUUAAACUUUAGCCGAGAUGCAGGGAGAGAGGGCCAGUCUCGGCUAUUUAUCAGAGGGCUUAAACUUUGAGCAUGGUUCCACCUCCAGUAAUGGUUUGAUGGAUCACUGGGACGGUCUUGGUGAUAACGACUUGCAGGACUACAUGAUUGCAAAUUCUGAAUCUCUCGCUCACUCGGUUUACCCUGAACAACAUAGGUUUAGCCUCGGCGAGGAGGCUAGCUCUAGUGGCACGAAGAAUGAAGCUUCCGGUCACAAUGAGCAACUAAGAAAUGAAAUAAUUGAUUUAGACUCAGAUUCUGAACAACCUUCUGGGGACAAUCAGAAUGUCAACCUGAAUGCAGAAUAUAUUGAACUUGACGAGGAUAUUGAUGUGGUUGAAGCUAACGGAUCAGGGAACAGGGCUUCACAACCUGGCAGACCUUUCCAAGAGACUAGUGUUAGAACAGGUUCUUCUGUUGAUGCAUCCUGCAAGAGGAAGGCUAUUGAAGGCAGUAGUAGUGGUCAGUCUUCUUUAGGUGGUUACCAUCACGGAGAAAGCAGCAGUUCGUGGACCCCAGUUUCUACCGAGUAUAGGUCAGUAAAUGGUCUAAACAUAUCUGGAUCUCGAGGAGAGGUCUCUGCUACUGCUUCAAAUUUUCUUGUAAGCUCAAGUAGAAAUACAUGUGUCAGGAGUAAUCCCUCUGAAACUGUAAGCCCAGCUGCCUUUUCUGCGGGAACUGUUGUCAGGCGACCUGUCCCUCCACCGCACUCUAACUUAUCAAGACUUGUACCAUCAGAUCAUCAUGGACAAUCCCUAGGAAAUAUCUUCUCACGGAACCCAAAUCCUCCUGCACCUGUUUCAAGGAAUAUGCUACCACCAUUUCAGUGGACUGAGAGCUCACUAGCGGGUGAAUCAUUCAACUCCACCGUGCCCACUGAGAGAAAUAAUCUUCAUCUAGAAGACACCAGGUCAAGAAGCAUAACAGCAGCGAGUGUUCUAGAGAAUCCCUUGUUUAAUCCAGCUCCUGACCUCAGCAGAAAUGCUAACCUGAGUAUUGCAUCAUCAUCAUCAGUGUCCAGGACAGGCUCAAGCACAGGUGUUCAAGCACCAUCUUCUAAUCUAGCGUGGACGCCUCACCGGAAUUUACCACCUCACCAAAGAAGAAGAUCGGAACUUGCCCAUAGGUCAUUGAUUUC
rnacentral:lncRNA from 1 species